UUUAUCGGUGAAAGAUGGAUCCGCGUCUGAUUAGCCAGUUGGCGGGGUAACGGCCCACCAAAGCGACGAUCAGUAGCCGGCCUGAGAGGGCGGACGGCCACAUUGGGACUGAGACACGGCCCAGACUCCUACGGGAGGCAGCAGUGGGGGAUAUUGCACAAUGGGCGCAAGCCUGAUGCAGCGACGCCGCGUGAGUGAAGAAGUAUUUCGGUAUGUAAAGCUCUAUCAGCAGGGAAGAAAGGCCCGCAAGGGAGA
rnacentral:rRNA from 1 species